rnacentral:rRNA from 1 species
CCUAUCCACUCCUACGGGAGGCAGCAGUGGGGAAUAUUGCACAAUGGGCGCAAGCCUGAUGCAGCCAUGCCGCGUGUAUGAAGAAGGCCUUCGGGUUGUAAAGUACUUUCAGCAGUGAGGAAGGUGGGUAUGUUAAUAGCAUAUUCAUUUGACGUUAGCUGCAGAAGAAGCACCGGCUAACUCCGUGCCAGCAGCCGCGGUAAUACGGAGGGUGCGAGCGUUAAUCGGAAUUACUGGGCGUAAAGCGCAUGCAGGUGGUUUGUUAAGUCAGAUGUGAAAGCCCGGGGCUCAACCUCGGAAUUGCAUUUGAAACUGGCAAACUAGAGUACUGUAGAGGGGGUAGAAUUUCAGGUGUAGCGGUGAAAUGCGUAGAGAUCUGAAGGAAUACCGGUGGCGAAGGCGGCCCCCUGGACAGAUACUGACACUCAGAUGCGAAAGCGUGGGGAGCAAACAGGAUUAGAUACCCUGGUAG